rnacentral:rRNA from 1 species
UACGUAGGGGGCAAGCGUUGUCCGGAUUCAUUGGGCGUAAAGAGCGUGUAGGCGGCCAGGUAGGUCGGUUGUGAAAACUGGAGGCUCAACCUUCAGAGGUCGACCGAAACCAUCUGGCUAGAGUCCGGGAGAGGAGAGUGGAAUUCCUGGUGUAGCGGUGAAAUGCGCAGAUAUCAGGAAGAACACCCGUGGCGAAGGCGGCUCAUC